GUCUAAGGCCCACGCCACCCUGAACGAGCCGGAUCCCGUCCGGUCUCGGAAGCUAAGCAGGGUCGGGCCUGGUUAGUACUUGGAUGGGAGACCACCUAGGAAGACCAGGUGCCGUAGGCC
rnacentral:rRNA from 1 species